rnacentral:rRNA from 1 species
GUGCCAGCCGCCGCGGUAAUACUGAGGGUGCAAGCGUUAAUCGGAAUUACUGGGCGUAAAGCGCGCGUAGGCGGUUUGUUAAGUCAGAUGUGAAAUCCCUGGGCUCAACCUGGGAACUGCAUUUGAUACUGGCAGGCUAGAGUAUGGUAGAGGGAAGUGGAAUUCCGGGUGUAGCGGUGAAAUGCGUAGAUAUCCGGAGGAACAUCAGUGGCGAAGGCGACUUCCUGGACCAAGACUGACGCUCAGGUGCGAAAGCGUGGGGAGCAAACAGGAUUAGAUACCCCUGUAGUCC